AUCCCAGGCGAGAUUUGAGGGGGGGCUCGUUUUCCCCCGUGCUCGUCUGAUUCAUGGGAGGCCCAGAUCAAAAGGUUUUGCCUCUGGGAGCUUCGCUGAUGACGCCCGUUCCUUGCUCAUCUCGGGCGUUCUAUUAGUAGCUUUCCCAUACAUGU
rfam:Eucalyptus grandis cultivar BRASTZ1 unplaced genomic scaffold scaffold_7, whole genome shotgun sequence.